GACGAACGCUGGCGGCGUGCCUAACACAUGCAAGUCGAACGGCAAGGCCCUGCUUUUUUGGGGUUCUCGAGUGGCGAACGGGUGAGUAACACGUGAGUAACCUGCCCUUGACUUUGGUAUAACUUCAGGAAACUGGGGCUACUCCCGUAUAGGAGCUCCUGCUGCAUGGUGGGCGUUGGAACGUUUCGGCGGUUGGGGAUGGAUUCGCGGCUUACCAGUUUGUUGGUUGGGUAGUUGCUUACCAAGGCUUUGAAGGGUAGCCGGCAUGAGAGGGUGAACGGCGACAAUGGGACUGAGAGACGGCCCAGACUGCAACGGGAGGCAGCAGGGGGGAGUAUUACACAAUGGGCGGGAGCGUGAGGAGGAAGCGCCGGGUGCGGAAUGACGGCCUUCGGGUUGUGAACCGCUUUAGCCUGAGACGAAGCGUGAGUGACGGUAAUGGGUAAAGAAGCACCGGCUAACUACGUG
rnacentral:rRNA from 1 species